GUUUGCCUGCCUCAGUUAACUCUGAUCUCCAUGAGGACAGAAUCUGUCUUGAAGUCUUUGACCCCCGGGCGCUAGCCUUCAGCACUUGGGACGGCUUCUCAUCAUCACCAGGAUUGUGUAAGGGAGCAGCCAUCACUGCUGGAGUUUGAAGGGACCAAUAAGCAUACAAAGCAGAGAGACAGACGAAGUAAUGGGUCAGCCAAAAUGUGAAUGGAAGCCGAAUUGGAGAACAAGACUCAAAUGAGCAGCAACCCAGGGUCUCCUGAUGCUCUUGCCUCCAAGUUGGUCCUAGAGGAGCCCCCUCAACAGAUAUUCGGGGUCUUCAGAAUGGAUGCUGACGUCCCUUCACUUAUCCAGACAAGGUCUCUCUCAUGGCAUAAACUAUGAAAUCGGCAGUUCUGGAUGUUUAGGAGAUGCACAUAGAAUAGAGAUUCCCCAGGGAAUUGACGGCAUGGAAGAGGACGUGACCACGUCUAUCAGGCAGUGCACCGGAGACUGAAAUGUGGGAGCUCUCAUGGCAGGCAAACCGGAUCAAAUCUCCACCGUAAGUAGCAGUGUCUGGAGGUAAGCUUCCCUUGCCAGAGACAUCUCCUCCUUAUCUCUCCUCUCUCUGUCU